rnacentral:rRNA from 1 species
AUACGAAAGGUGCAAGCGUUGUUCGGAUUUACGGGGCGUAAAGGGAGUGUAGGUGGUUUAUUAAGUCGGAUGUGAAAUCCCGGGGCUCAACCUCGGAACUGCAUUCGAUACUGAUAGGCUAGAGUUUGGGAGGGGUAAGCGGAAUUCCGUGUGUAGCAGUGAAAUGCGUAGAUAUACCGAGGAACACCUGAGGCGAAGGCGGCCUACUGGACCAAUACUGACACUGAGACUCGAAAGCGUGGGUAGCAAACAGGAUUAGAAACCCUAGUAGUCC